CGGGGAUUUAAUCCUACCUAAAUGGAUAAACUGUUAGUAAUUCUAGAAGCUAAUACGUGCCUCGAUGCCCUGAUCCGCAAGGUGAGGGGUGCACUUAUUAGAUCGCAAAUCAAACCAUUUCGGUGGUAAUUUGUGGUGACUCUGGAUAACUUUGUAUGAUCGCAGCUGGCCUUGUUGUCGGCGACGGAUCCAUCAAAUAUCUGCCCUAUCAACUUUCGAUGGUAGGAGACAUGCCUACCAUGGUUAUGACGGGUAACGGGGAAUCAGGGUUCGAUUCCGGAGAGGGAGCCUGAGAAACGGCUACCACAUCCAAGGAAGGCAGCAGGCGCGUAAAUUACCCACUCUCUGAACGAGGAGGUAGUGAAGAUAAAUAUCGAUACAGAACUCAAAUGAGGCUCUGUAAUCGAAAUGAGUGCAAUAUAAAUCCUACAACGAGGAUCUAUUGGAGGGCAAGUCUGGUGCCAGCAGCCGCGGUAACUCCAGCUCCAAUAGCGUAUAUUAAAGUUGCUGCAGUUAAAAAGCUCGUAGUUGGAUCUGGGCCAUGUAGUGAUUGUCGGUUUUGGUGCUUCGAACUAACGUAUGUUGUGCCAGGCCGGUAUAUUUGCUCAUGGCUUCGCAGCUGUGUCCUUUUGUCUUCGGGCAAUUGGAUGGUGUUGGGUGUUAGCCUUUGCCCCUUUACCGGGGGCGGGGGCAGCUCAGUACCAUGUUCUGUUGAUGCUCUUAACCGGGUGUCCGGAACUCUCAGCACGUUUACUUUGAACAAAUUUGAGUGCUCAAAGCAGGCCGCUUGUUGCCUGAAAAUUCUUGCAUGGAAUAAUGAAAUAGGACUUUGGUCCUAUUUUGUUGGUUUGAUAGAACCGAAGUAAUGAUAAACAGAGACAGACGGGGGCAUUUGUAUGGCGGCGCUAGAGGUGAAAUUCGUGGACCGUCGCCAGACAAACUAAAGCGAAAGCAUCUGCCAAGUAUGUUUUCAUUUACCAGGAAGGAAAGUCAGAGGUUCGAAGACGAUCAGAUACCGUCCUAGUUCUGGACCAUAAAACGAUGCCAAACUGACGGAUCCGUGGUGUUUAACUAUACAUGAACCCACCGGGCAGUCUCCCGGGAAACCUGUAAGUCUAUGGGUUCCCGGGGAAAGUAUGGUUGCAAAACUGAAACUUAAAGGAAUUGACGGAAGGGCACCACCAGGAGUGGAGCUUGCGGCUUAAUUUGACUCAACACGGGAAAACUCACCCGACCCGGACACCGUGAGGAUUGACAGAUUGAAAGCUCUUUCUUGAUUCGGUGGCUAGUGGUGCAUGGCCGUUCUUAGUUCGUGGUACGAGCUGUCUGGUUAAUUCCGAUAACGAACGAGACUCUAACCUGCUAAAUAGUACAGUUGCAAGAUUAUAUAGACCUUCAUGCUAGUGCUCCGGUAUUGGCAUGGAACUAUAUAAGCAGGUGAUACUUCUUAGAGGGACUGGCACAUUAUAUAAAGUGCACGAGGAAGAGCAAUAACAGGUCUGUGAUGCCCUAAUAUGUCCGGGGCCGCACGCGUGCUACAAUGACGAUGCAAGUGAGCAUGAUUUACCUGGUCCGAAAGGAUUGGGAAACCUGUUCAAUCAUCGUCGUGACUGGGAUUGGGGUUUGUAAUUAUCCCCCAUGAACGAGGAAUUCCUAGUAAGCACAAGUCAUAAGCUUGUGCUGAUUACGUCCCUGCCCUUUGUACACACCGCCCGUCGCUACUACCGAUUGAAUGGUUUAGCAAGGUUAUAAUAACCUUGUUUUCCCGUUCGCCCCUAUUAACGCUGAGAAGAGUGUACAACUUGAUCGGACGUAAUAAGUAAAAGCUUAUGACUUGUGCUUACUAGUAAUUCCUCGUACAGAGGGGAUAAUUACUACCCCCCAUCCUUGUCUCGAGGAUGAUUGAACUGGUUUCCCAAUCCUUUCAGACCUGGGAAAUCUUGCUCACUUACAUCUUCAUUGUAGCACGCGUGCGGCCCCGGACAUCUUAGGGCAUCACAAACCUGUUAUUGCUCUUCCUCGUGCUCUUUAUAUAAUAGUGCCAGUCCCUCUAAGAAGUCUCACUUGCUUAUAUAGUUUCCAUU
rnacentral:rRNA from 1 species